rnacentral:lncRNA from 1 species
GCUCUAUGAUGAGGACAUUUCGUUUUUGACGAAUCGUGCUGCUGUGUACUUGGAGAUGGGCAAGGUAAGCAAUUCGUUAGUAAAGUAUAAGAACUUGCUUAGUACGAGCCUAUGUUUUGUCUGAAGAUGGAAUUAUAUUUUAAAUAACUAGUUAUAAUAGUUUGUACUUGGAGAUAGGCAAGGUCAGCAAUUGUUUAGUAAGUAUGAGAACUUGCUUAAUACUUAGCCUAUUUUGCUCUGAAGAUGGAAUCAUCAGCUGUUUGGAUUGCCAUCACUUGAAUCAGUCCUUGCUAGCUUCAUUUGGAGUUCUAUCGGACUGGUGAACUUAUGAGGAUGAGUCUAGAAUCAUUAUAUUUCGUAAUGUAGAUUAUCUACUCCUUGCGGUUUGUCUAGUUUUCUUUAAGAGGAUUGUGGUUAGUAUAGUUAACACGUUUCUGGUGGUGGUUUCUGAUGGUGGUUGGUUCCUUACGUUACAGUA